CAGGGACACAGCAUGAUUUUGAGUCAUGGGAGGUUUAGGUUGGAUAUCAGGAAAAGUUUUUUCACCCAGAAGGUAGUUGGACACUGAAAUAGGCUCCUCAGCGAAGUGGUCAAAGCACCAAGCCUG